rnacentral:rRNA from 1 species
UGGGGAAUUUUGGACAAUGGGGGAAACCCUGAUCCAGCCAUCCCGCGUGUGCGAUGAAGGCCUUCGGGUUGUAAAGCACUUUUGGCAGGAAAGAAACGUCAUGGGUUAAUACCCCGUGAAACUGACGGUACCUGCAGAAUAAGCACCGGCUAACUACGUGCCAGCAGCCGCGGUAAUACGUAGGGUGCAAGCGUUAAUCGGAAUUACUGGGCGUAAAGCGUGCGCAGGCGGUUCGGAAAGAAAGAUGUGAAAUCCCAGAGCUCAACUUUGGAACUGCCUUUUUAACUACCGACCUAGAGUGUGUCAGAGGGAGGUGGAAUUCCGCGUGUAGCAGUGAAAUGCGUAGAUAUGCGGGUGAACACCGAUGGCGAAGGCAGCCUCCUGGGAUAACACUGACGCUCAUGCACGAAAGCGUGGGGAGCAAACAGG